rnacentral:tRNA from 1 species
AGCUUUAUAGUCAAUAAAAUGAUAUUAGACUGCAAUUCUAAAGUAGGUAAAUCCUAAAGCUU